rnacentral:lncRNA from 1 species
UGGGCCGGUCACGUGACUACCAAAAUAUGGAUAUAUUUGACAGCUACUCGUCAAGGAGUGGCGAGAUAUUCUUAACUGGAAAUUAUAUACAAGUCUUCGAAACAAAUAAACAGUGUAGCGAAGUUUGGCACAAAUACCGAUAUUUCUGGAGAUUUUCAACCACAGUGACAGGCAAAGCCAAAGGCACAACUGUAUCUGAACAUGAUUUCCAAGCUGCAUCUACAAUCCUGGACAAAAUAUAUGGCAAAAAUGUCAUUCUAUUUCCCUUCCCCCAAUAUCAAUGUUGUUUGCGCCAAUACACUUGUUUUUCCCUGAAGAUUUAACCGAAAAUAGCAACAUUGAUAUAGGGGGAGGGACGAGCGUGCCUAAGAUUUGAUAUAAAGUAGAUAUCUGCCUAUAUGACGAAAAAUAAGACAACAGAACAAGAAAGAAUAAGAUUAAAGGUGAUCUACAGUCCGAUCUGCGCAUGUGCACAAAUGAGCCCA